rnacentral:rRNA from 1 species
UACGUAGGGCGCAAGCGUGUCCGGAAUUAUUGGGCGUAAAGAGCUCGUAGGCGGUUUGUCGCGUCUGCUGUGAAAACCUAAGGCUCAACCUUGGGCUUGCAGUGGGUACGGGCAGACUAGAGUGCGGUAGGGGGUGACUGGAAUUCCUGGUGUAGCGGUGGAAUGCGCAGAUAUCAGGAGGAACACCGAUGGCGAAAGGCAGGUCACUGGGCCGCAACUGACGC